rnacentral:rRNA from 1 species
UGGGGAAUUUUGGGCAAUGGGCGAAAGCCUGAUCCAGCAAUGCCGCGUGUGUGAAGAAGGCCUUCGGGUUGUAAAGCACUUUUGUCCGGAAAGAAAUCCUUGGCUCUAAUACAGUCGGGGGAUGACGGUACCGGAAGAAUAAGCACCGGCUAACUACGUGCCAGCAGCCGCGGUAAUACGUAGGGUGCAAGCGUUAAUCGGAAUUACUGGGCGUAAAGCGUGCGCAGGCGGUUUGCUAAGACCGAUGUGAAAUCCCCGGGCUCAACCUGGGAACUGCAUUGGUGACUGGCAGGCUAGAGUAUGGCAGAGGGGGGUAGAAUUCCACGUGUAGCAGUGAAAUGCGUAGAGAUGUGGAGGAAUACCGAUGGCGAAGGCAGCCCCCUGGGCCAAAUACUGACGCUCAUGCACGAAAAGCGUGGGGAGCAAACAGGAUUAGAUACCCUGGUAGUCCACGCCCUAAAACGAUGUCAACUAGUUGUUGGGGGAUUCAUUUCCUUAGUAACGUAGCUAACGCGUGAAGUUGACCGCCUGGGGAGUACGGUCGCAAGAUUAAAACUCAAAUGAAUUGACGGGGUCAUA